rnacentral:lncRNA from 1 species
GUGCCCACCCGCAAACCCGUCUCUAUAAAAAAGGCUGGAAUGGCCCAACGGCUCGCAGAGCUCAGUGGUGGCGCAGAAAGUGUUCACUUCUUCUGUUUCGGGCUGUACGCUGUGGUUCUGCGCCUCCAGGGCUUUGCUGCCUGGCGAGCGUCCUCCCUGUACCACAGGAUCCUUGCCCGACUACAAACCCGAGGCUUCUAUUAGGAUAGUCUGGAUUCGCCAUAGGGGUUUCUCCUAGCGCGGAUUGUGUGUUUGCGUUGGCGAUGCUCAUAGAAGAAAGGCGCAGAGCUGUACGAGGAGGCGGGAUGCACGGGUCAGAGCCCUCGGUGGCCUCCGCCCGCUGCUCUUGGCGCCGGUCCGCUCCUGGAGAUAGCGCGGCAGCCGCCUGGGAGGCGAAGCGCGUAAUCUCCGCGCUACCCACGCGGGGCCGCGGCGUGGUGGCCGCACUUUGGCUUUGGGCGCUGGAUGGACAGUGGGGUAAAGGGUUGGGGUUCCCCUAACGUGGAUUACUUGGUGCUUAUCAACUGGAUUUAGAAGACUCUCGACCUGGUCUCCAUCAUCCGUGGGUUGUCUUUCCAUCUCCCAGCCGCUCUUUCACCUGGAGGUGAAACCAGAGCUUCUGCCUGCAUGGAACAAGAGCAAGAGAAAGGCCGAGGAGACUGACCUGCUUAUCCAUGCUACUUAUCAGGAACUGUGGAACCAUGGAGAACAUGACCCUGGCCCUCCCUUCAGGAUCUGCCUGAGAUCUGGCUGCCUCUUGAGACACUAGAGCCCUGGAUUCAAUUGCGGAACAUUAUGUUGGAGAAUAUAAACACUUCUAGACUGUGCCGGCAUUUGGGAAGGAAUAGUCUGUUUUGACUUGAAUGAACAAAGACAUACGUCUCUGGGCCUGGGGAAGGCUUACCAGCUCAGCUCAUCUACUGUCUGGUGGCAAACAUGUCCUGGGUACUGCCACUACCCAGGACACUCUUCCUCACUCUGUCCCUGUCCAGUUACCGCACCCUUCCCUGUCUGACCCCGCCUCCUGUGCCCACUCGCCUCUGGACCCAGAGAUUCUUCUUGUUUGCUCUAUCAUCCUUGAGCCGGAUACAGGGUGAAUAGUUAACCACACUUGGGUUGAAUGGGAUCUUGAUUCUUAUUUCUGUUCCUUGGAAAGAGGGGUCAGACUCGGUGCGUGGCACCCGGCCUGGAAGCAGCACAAGACUCCAGAGUGAUACAUGAUCUGCCUGGAUGGUCCCAGGGGCUCUUUGGAGGUCAGAGCAAGAGGAGCAGCCUGAGCAGGGGGGCUGAGGAGGGCCGGCACUGGAUCACACGCAGGCGUAUGUCUGGAUAGGCAGAGAGGAACCCACUUUUCAUUCCCUCUUCUGUGACACAAAUGCAAGGAACUUUGAAGACACUCUUCGGAGGUUGCAAUCGGAGAUCAGCUUAUCCAAGGGCUUCAUGUCUGAGCUCUGUUGGUCGUGCCUCCUGAGGACCUCUUUCCUCUACUGUAUGCUGAUGACACACCCAUCCGAUGGGAGCUGGAGCCUUGUCUGGUCCUUUCCUCUAUGACCCCACGUGUACAGUUGGAAAUCCUUCCUAAUCAUGCCUUGAUUCCCCCUUUUCGACUACACUCAAAGAUGUUUGAGCUGUUUUAUUUGCAAAAUGGAUGGACAGUUUGUUUAUAUAAAACAAUCCCAGCUUCCUUGUGCUCUAUCUGGUGUGUUUGUAUGGCUCUUCAGUGACUUUAAAGUGGAGCAUUGACCUUGGCCUCUUUGAUUCUCCAUGGUGGAAUAGAGAAGACCUCUUGAGGAUGCUUAAUGUUGCUGAGAUCUUAAGAAGGCUUGCAGACUUCCUCUUCCUCCCUCCUUCUCCCACCUCCUCCUUCCCUAAGCAGCCUCUGCAUUGUAUAAAUUCCUUUAUAUAAAUUCCUCUGUAAAUGUUGUCUUUUC